GAUGAACGCUGGCGGCGUGCCUAAUACAUGCAAGUCGAGCGAACAGAUGAGGAGCUUGCUCCUCUGACGUUAGCGGCGGACGGGUGAGUAACACGUGGAUAACCUACCUAUAAGACUGGGAUAACUUCGGGAAACCGGAGCUAAUACCGGAUAAUAUAUUGAACCGCAUGGUUCAAUAGUGAAAGACGGUUUGCUGUCACUUAUAGAUGGAUCCGCGCCGCAUUAGCUAGUUGGUAAGGUAACGGCUUACCAAGGCAACGAUGCGUAGCCGACCUGAGAGGGUGAUCGGCCACACUGGAACUGAGACACGGUCCAGACUCCUACGGGAGGCAGCAGUAGGGAAUCUUCCGCAAUGGGCGAAAGCCUGACGGAGCAACGCCGCGUGAGUGAUGAAGGUCUUCGGAUCGUAAAACUCUGUUAUUAGGGAAGAACAAAUGUGUAAGUAACUAUGCACGUCUUGACGGUACCUAAUCAGAAAGCCACGGCUAACUACGUG
rnacentral:rRNA from 1 species